AAUCCGUGGUGUGGACAAUCCCGCUCAUACUCCUUAAAACGCUCACAAGCUUCAUAAAAAGACUCGACCGGACCGUGCUAGAAACUUUGAAUUUUGUUUUUGGUUC
rfam:Eutrema salsugineum unplaced genomic scaffold scaffold_11, whole genome shotgun sequence.